UACGGGGGGAGCAAGCGUUGUUCGGAUUCACUGGGCUUAAAGGGCGCGUAGGCGGGUCAUCAAGUCUGGGGUGAAAUCCUUCGGCUCAACCGGAGAAGUGCCCCCGAUACUGGUGGUCUGGAGGGAGGUAGGGGUGUGUGGAACUUCCGGUGGAGCGGUGAAAUGCGUAGAUAUCGGAAGGAACGCCGGUGGCGAAAGCGACGCACUGGACCUCUUCUGACGCUGAGGCGCGAAAGCCAGGGGAGCAAACGGG
rnacentral:rRNA from 1 species